rnacentral:rRNA from 1 species
CCUACGGGUGGCAGCAGUGAGGAAUAUUGGUCAAUGGACGAGAGUCUGAACCAGCCAAGUAGCGUGAAGGAUGACUGCCCUCUGGGUUGUAAACUUCUUUUAUAUGGGAAUAAAAUGUUCCACGUGUGGGAUUUUGUAUGUACCAUAAGAAUAAGGAUCGGCUAACUCCGUGCCAGCAGCCGCGGUAAUACGGAGGAUCCGAGCGUUAUCCGGAUUUAUUGGGUUUAAAGGGAGCGUAGGUGGAUUGUUAAGUCAGUUGUGAAAGUUUGCGGCUCAACCGUAAAAUUGCAGUUGAAACUGGCAGUCUUGAGUACAGUAGAGGUGGGCGGAAUUCGUGGUGUAGCGGUGAAAUGCUUAGAUAUCACGAAGAACUCCGAUUGCGAAGGCAGUUCACUGGACUGCAACUGACACUGAGGCUCGAAAGUGUGGGUAUCAAACAGGAUUAGAUACCCGAGUAGUC